rnacentral:rRNA from 1 species
UACGUAGGUGGCAAGCGUUGUCCGGAUUUAUUGGGCGUAAAGCGAGUGCAGGCGGUUUUUUAAGUCUGAUGUGAAAGCCUUCGGCUUAACCGAAGAAAUGCAUUGGAAACUGGGGAACUUGAGUGCAGAAGAGGAGAGUGGAACUCCAUGUGUAGCGGUGAAAUGCGUAGAUAUAUGGAAGAACACCAGUGGCGAAGGCGGCUCUCUGGUCUGUAACUGACGCUGAGGCUCGAAAGCGUGGGUAGCAAACAGG